UACGAAGGGUGCAAGCGUUAAUCGGAAUUACUGGGCGUAAAGGGUGCGUAGGCGGUUCGUUAAGUCUGUCGUGAAAUCCCCGGGCUCAACCUGGGAAUGGCGAUGGAUACUGGCGAGCUAGAGUGUGUCAGAGGAUGGUGGAAUUCCACGUGUAGCAGUGAAAUGCGUAGAGAUGUGGAGGAACACCGAUGGCGAAGGCAGCCCCCUGGGCCGAUACUGACGCUCAGGCACGAAAGCGUGGGGAGCAAACAGG
rnacentral:rRNA from 1 species